GCCACGGUCAAGGUGAGACGUACGCCGCCGUGUUCUGGCGUCCCUCCGGAUAUUCUCGGUGCCACCGCGACUCUGGCACCCCUCUGUUGGGUGUGCGUGGUGCCCCUGGCCUGACACUCCACGCGGCUGCUGUACCUAUACCGUGCUCCGGGAGGACAGCAGCGAUGCCGCCCUCUCUGUGUUAUGCUGUGUUUGGCCCACGCUGUGUUUUUCACGUGUUUCUGAAGUAAUGUGAUCGCUGAAGGAGAGAAAUGCUGGCGUGAGGAGGCGAGACGUGCUUCCAGGCAGUGAGUGGAGGAGGAGGAGGAUGUCGUCGCUGGUGGAGGCACUGCAGGUGUCUCCCGCCCGCAGCCGGCGUAGGAAGCCCUCCACGGCGCAGAGCCUCUACAGGGGCGUCGUCAGGAGCAAGUGUACCUGGGAAACACCGUGCAGUGCGGUUGUGUGUGUGUGUCCUCUUUUCAUUUAAACACCAGGGAACGGGACCACAGAGGCACAGGAGGUCAAUUAAGAGCAACGGCAACCCUCCGAUCCGGCAAGCAGGUUGGCGGCAGCGAUGGCGGUGGCGGCAGCAGCGGUGGUGAGGUGGACGGCAGGGACGGAGGGGCGGUACAGGCUGCGGACAUCAAGGAGAAAAAGAACGUGCGGAGAAGCAAGGUGGCAUUCAGCAGUGUGAUCCUGGACCUGGUCGGCUUGACGGUGGUGGUGCCUCUGUCUCCUGCUCUCUUUGACUGUUACUCCAAGCACGACUCCAGCGGCUUGUAUUCCUCUGUGCUCUCCUGUGUGACUUGUUACCAGCAUAUCAUCGGCGUCCCUGCGAGGUUCCACUCUGUCUUGUUUGGUGGUAUGUGGGGCCUAAUGAUGAUGAUUCCUGCUUUCAUCCUCAUCGGGGCUAACGAGACCAACCUGGGGCUGUACUCUGGACUGACGCUGUAUGCCAUAGUGCCUUGAGGUGCCAAUCAUUUCUGAAGUUUAUGAAAGCAGAAACGGCUCUCCAGAAUAUGAUUUUUACCCUAGAUCUUCCCUUCAGCGUUCAGCUUAUUCCUGCAGUGACAGGUGCAGCUUUUUAAACCCUGGGAGAAGCUACUGCAUUGAUCCCAGAGGCAGCCCACGUCCUCACAUUCACGCCCACGCUGACCACCAAGGGGACGCGGAGCACGAGCUGAGUGACUUUGAAAAGGAGAAUUUGUUGUUCGCUUUCCCUCAGCCCUCCGUCAGCUGCUUCAGGAGUUCUGUGCAUCUCCCAGGCAGGAAUCCAGACUGCUGUACACAAUAGAUUGCUGGUAAGUGUAUGAUUCAAUAUCUUUAAUUGCUGUUUCCAGUAUUUUGCAUAUCACAUAAGUCAAACUGCCCGCCCGGCCUGUACUUGCUGGGGUCACUUUUCAUGUUUCUUAUAGAUUACAUGAGUUGCUUUUCAAAAUUCUGGUAUUUCCUGGCUAUGAAGUGAAUAGCUAGCAAUCAGUCAAUCGGCACCCUUAGAUGAAUCUGGUCAGGUGCGGUGACUUGUCCCUCUCAGCCUCUUUAUCAUAAUGCUGUAUAUCAUUUCUACUCAUUUCCAGAGAUACCAAGACUGGCACAGACUCCCUGGUUAUCUCUGGCAUGCCCUCAUCCAGUUGAUGUGCGAACACCACUGCAGGGAACUCUGUCGGUGUGUCUGUUCCUUUCUUUAUCAUUUCCAGUGUUCCUGCUCUUGUCAAUGCUGUUCCUGACACUGACAGUUCCUGCACUGACACUGUUUAGUUGGGUUAGGUUUGGUUACAUACAUUCCAUUCAUUACCAUCAUCAUUAUUCUCUCAUUUCUCAUUCAUUUAUCAUAAUUUUUCCAUCCACUUGUCACCAUCCUUCCAUUUCUCAUUAAUUUAUCACUUGUUAUCACCAUCCUUUCAUCUCUCAUUUACUAAUAAUUUUUAUUCCCAUGGCCUUGUUGACUGGAUGCUCUCUCUCUCUCUCUCUCUCUCUCUCUCUCUCUCUCUCUCUCUCUCUCUCU